UACGGAGGGUGCAAGCGUUAUCCGGAUUCACUGGGUUUAAAGGGUGCGUAGGCGGGGCGGUAAGUCCGUGGUGAAAUCUCUGAGCUUAACUCAGAAACUGCCGUGGAGACUAUCGGUCUUGAAUCUCGUGGAGGUGAGUGGAAUAUGUCAUGUAGCGGUGAAAUGCUUAGAGAUGACAUAGAACACCAAUUGCGAAGGCAGCUCACUACACGAACAUUGACGCUGAGGCACGAAAGCGUGGGGAUCAAACAGG
rnacentral:rRNA from 1 species